rnacentral:lncRNA from 1 species
AAAAAAAAAGGACAUCAAAUUCAUUUUCAUUAAAGCCAAAGUAGAAUGAUUGUCAAUAUAGGGGUAAAAGGAGGAAGCAGUACAGUACUGUAAUUUCAAUAGGUAACUAAAGCAUUGGUAUCUAUCAGACAGUCAACUCAUGUACAAUGAAAAACACCGGUCAUGCGAAACCACCCAUGACCUCUAGGAACCGUUUCAUUCGCUGCAGAAAACCGCCAUUAAAACCACAGGCAGAGCUUUUCUGUACACAAGAAUAAUAAAUUAAACAACUCCAUAAAUCCUCCCCAUUUCUUUAAAAAGACAAAAAAAAAAAGGAAUCCUCGCACCAAGAUUGAGAGAGAAGAGUUUCCAAAGAAACCAGAAGCCAUUAAAGGGCGAAGUUGGUUGUGUACAAAGAAGAGAAGAGAAAGAGAAAGAGAAGGACAUUCAAGAAUGUGUUGGGCCCUGCGAGACUACGAACGGUGGUGGAAGACUGACGGGAGGUCCCGCAGUCGUAAUCGGAAUGGGGUUGGAAAAUACAGGGGUGCUGCCACUCCCACUCCCACCAUUGUUGCCAUUGCCAUUGCCUUUUUGAUGACUGAAGCCAUGCUUGAAAAACCCCAACCCCAACACCACGCCUGUGACUACAAGAACUCCCACUAUGAGUAUGAAGAUCUUUGAAGCCUUGCCCACAUAACACAUUGUGCCCAAUUCCUCCCUCUCUCUCUCUCUCUCUCUCUCUCUCUCUCUCUCUCUCUCUCUCUACUACUACUACUACUCUACUCUCUCUACUACUACUACUACUCUCUCUCUCUCUACGUCUCGUCGUCGUCGUACGUACGUACGUACGUACGUAGUACGUNNNNNNNNNNNNNNNNNNNNACCGUCGUCGUACUAACAACGAACCUACCCUACUACUAGUAGUAGUAGAGUAUUCUUAGUACGUACGUCUCCACACUAACACUAUGUCACUACCUCCUCCUCUCUCUCUCUCUCUCUCUCUCUCUCUCUCUCUCUUCAACUGCCCAAAUGGACUCUCUCUUCACUGCCCAAAUGGACUCUCUCUCUCUCUCUUGUAAUGGGGCUUCGGGAUUAGGGCAAGAAGCUCCAAGUGAGGAGAACAUAAGGUAUUUUGAGUAAAGGAAAAUGGGGAAAGAGAGAGAGAAGAGAGAGCAAAAAAGAGAGAAGUUUUGUUUUUGCCCUGGUUAUUGAAAAAGGUGUCACCACGUGAAGGCAUGAACAUAAAAGUAAAGUUCCAAAAUAAGUAAAGUUUACCUGUUUCCUACGAGGGCCGCUGUCAAGUGGUGGGGAUAAAUUUGGGGAAGAGGAAUUUAGAGCCCAUGCUUUUUUUUUUGUGUUGCAGUUGUAACCCUAUUGUUUUCUCUUCUAUUUCCUGCAAUUAUUGAGUAAGGUAAGGGCAUUGUUGAAUUGGC